rfam:Triticum aestivum genome assembly, contig: Triticum_aestivum_CS42_TGACv1_scaffold_342438_4DL
AUCAUACUCCCUCCGUCCCAAAAUAAGUGUCUUAACCUUAGUACAACUUUGUACUAACUUUAGUACAAAGUUGUACUAAGGUUAAGACACUUAUUUUGGAACGGAGGGAGUAUAUA